rnacentral:rRNA from 1 species
GCAGUCGAGCGCGAAUGGAGCAAUCCUAGUAGAGCGGCGCACGGGUGCGUAACACGUGGGUAAUCUGCCUGGGUGUCUGGGAUAACCAGUCGAAAGAUUGGCUAAUACCGGAUGAGCCCCCGGGAGCUUCGGCUCUUGAGGGAAAAGGUGGCCUCUGUAUACAAGCUAUCACACCCAGAUGAGCCCGCGGCCCAUCAGCUAGUUGGCGGGGUAAUGGCCCACCAAGGCGACGACGGGUAGCUGGUCUGAGAGGACGAUCAGCCACACUGGAACUGAGACACGGUCCAGACUCCUACGGGAGGCAGCAGUGGGGAAUUUUGCGCAAUGGGCGAAAGCCUGACGCAGCAACGCCGCGUGUGUGAUGAAGGUCUUUGGAUUGUAAAGCACUUUCGACCGGGACGAAAACCCCCUGGCUAAUACUCAGGGGCUUGACGGUACCGGGAGAAGAAGCACCGGCUAACUCUGUGCCAGCAGCCGCGGUAAUACAGAGGGUGCAAGCGUUGUUCGGAAUUAUUGGGCGUAAAGCGCGUGUAGGCGGCUUUGCAAGUCGGAUGUGAAAGCCCUCGGCUCAACCGAGGAAGUGCGUUCGAAACUGCAGAGCUUGAGUGCCGGAGAGGGUGGCGGAAUUCCC